rnacentral:rRNA from 1 species
UACGAAGGGGACUAGCGUUGUUCGGAAUCACUGGGCGUAAAGCGCGCGCAGGCGGUCUUCCAAGUCAGUGGUGAAAGCCUGGAGCUCAACUCCAGAACUGCCAUUGAAACUGCAAGACUUGAGUACGAGAGAGGUGAGUGGAAUUCCCAGUGUAGAGGUGAAAUUCGUAGAUAUUGGGAAGAACACCGGUGGCGAAGGCGGCUCACUGGCUCGUAACUGACGCUCAGGCGCGACAGCGUGGGGAUCAAACAGG